GGCCAAUCCCUUCCUUUUUCCUUAGAAAGCUUUCCGCGACCAUUCCGGCGAACCAAACCCUGAAAAAAUCCUCCUCUUUUAUUCUUAAAUAUGGUGGGGAGAGCGCCACUCGAGAGAAAGAACCCGCGGAGGAAUAACACCUUUUGGGAAAAAUCCGGUCUUCUAAGUUCCUUUAUAGGUGGCGUGGAGGAUCAGAUUUGAUUAUCCUUUUCAGGUGGUGCAGAGAAACCUGAUUGGAUGGUACAUUGGGAUUCCUGAGUCACCAUACGGAACCGGUGGGUCAACGUCAAGAACGUGAGAACCUUAACAGCUUUGAACUUAGCCGCGACCACGGCUAUUGUUUGGGGGGUUUUCUAGACCUUAAUUUAUCGAGAUGCAAGUUUGAUGUUGAGAAAUUAUAUAACUUAUGUGGAAUUAUUCUUGCAUUGAUCCCUCGUAUGCAUUUGAAGAGAAAAGAAUGAGUUUUAUGCCAAAUUUGGGUAUGUGUGAAAGUUGGAAACUUGAUUUGAUCAAAUUGAUGUUUACACUCAUUAUGUUUAUGGGGCU